rnacentral:tRNA from 1 species
GUCUCUCUAGUAUAAUAUACAAAUGACUUCCAAUCAUUUAUUCUUGGUAGGACCCCAAGGAAAGGCA